UACGGGGGGUGCAAGCGUUGUCCGGAUUUAUUGGGCGUAAAGAGCUCGUAGGUGGCUUGUUGCGUCUGCCGUGAAAGCCCGUGGCUUAACUACGGGUCUGCGGUGGAUACGGGCAGGCUAGAGGCUGGUAGGGGCAAGCGGAAUUCCUGGUGUAGCGGUGAAAUGCGCAGAUAUCAGGAGGAACACCGGUGGCGAAGGCGGCUUGCUGGGCCAGUUCUGACGCUGAGGAGCGAAAGCGUGGGGAGCGAACAGG
rnacentral:rRNA from 1 species